UACAGGGGGUGCAAACGAUGCUCGGAAUCAUUGGGCGGAAAGCGCACGUAGGCGGUUCGGUAUGUCGGAUGUGAAAGCCCUUGGCUUAACCGAGGAAGUGCAUCCGAAACUGGCGAGCUAGAGUACGAAAGAGGAUCGCGGAAUUCCCGGUGUAGAGGUGAAAUUCGUAGAUAUCGGGAGGAACACCGGUGGCGAAGGCGGCGAUCUGGGUCGAUACUGACGCUGAGGUGCGAAAGCGUGGGGAGCAAACAGG
rnacentral:rRNA from 1 species